rnacentral:rRNA from 1 species
AAUAGAUACCCGGGUAGUCCACGCCGUAAACGAUGAAUGCUAGGUGUUAGGGGUUUCGAUACCCUUGGUGCCGAAGUUAACACAUUAAGCAUUCCGCCUGGGGAGUACGGCCGCAAGGCUGAAACUCAAAGGAAUUGACGGGGACCCGCACAAGCAGUGGAGUAUGUGGUUUAAUUCGAAGCAACGCGAAGAACCUUACCAGGUCUUGACAUCCCCCUGACCGGUGCAGAGAUGUGCCUUUCCUUCGGGACAGGGGAGACAGGUGGUGCAUGGUUGUCGUCAGCUCGUGUCGUGAGAUGUUGGGUUAAGUUCCGCAACGAGCGCAACCCUUGACUUUAGUUGCCAGCAAGUAAGGUUGGGCACUCUAGAGUGACUGCCGGUGACAAACCGGAGGAAGGUGGGGAUGACGUCAAAUCAUCAUGCCCCUUAUGACCUGGGCUACACACGUACUACAAUGGCCGGUACAACGGGAAGCGAAGGAGCGAUCUGGAGCGAAUCCUUGAAAGCCGGUCUCAGUUCGGAUUGCAGGCUGCAACUCG